GGGGAUAUAGCUCAGUUGGUAGAGUGCUUGCUUCGAAAGCACAAGGCACUGGGUUCAAUCCUCAGCACCACCA
rnacentral:tRNA from 1 species